UAGGGAAUCUUCCACAAUGGGCGCAAGCCUGAUGGAGCAACACCGCGUGAGUGAAGAAGGGCUUCGGCUCGUAAAGCUCUGUUGUUAAAGAAGAACACGUAUGAGAGUAACUGUUCAUACGUUGACGGUAUCUAACCAGAAAGUCACGGCUAACUACGUACCAG
rnacentral:rRNA from 1 species